rnacentral:rRNA from 1 species
UACGUAGGGGGCGAGCGUUGUCCGGAGUUACUGGGCGUAAAGCGCACGCAGGCGGUCUGCUAAGUUUGGAGUGACAGUUGGUGGCUUAACUGCCAAAGUGCUUCGAAAACUGACAGACUUGAGGGCUUCAGAGGGACACGGAAUUCCGGGUGGAGUGGUGAAAUGCGUAGAGAUCCGGAGGAACACCAAAGGCGAAGGCAGUGUCCUGGGAAGUACCUGACGCUCAGGUGCGAAAGCCAGGGGAGCGAACGGG